GGGAAACAUGAGCAAAUGAACUUCUUAAAUAACAAAGUGGAGGCAAGUGGUUAGGGUGUGUGUACAAACUCUUACUGGUGAUAAGAUUCGUCAGUUACGUUGGAAAACGCCAUUGUGAAAUGCGAAUGCAAUGACUGGAGAACACAAGUGCUUUCAUAGUGGUAUAAUUUGUUACUUUAUCUGUCAAUUGGCGUUUUGCUUAGUUUUCUUAUUUGUUUCAGUUUGUUUGAUGUUAAUACUUAAUAAUAUCUUAUAGAUGAUUCCAAAACAAAAAUGAAUGUUCUUUUUUCUAUCUAUAAUCUCUGAAAGGAAAAAAAUGUACUUUGUGUGCCAUGAGAGCACAUUUCCUUUCUAAAUGAUACUUAUGUAAUAACAUUAGCGGCUUCUGACUGUUUGCUUAUUGUAAUUUGCAAAUCAUUCUUGGUAUGCUGGA